GAGAAAGAGAAGAAGAGCGAACGGAGGAUGCCUUGGCUUCCGGAGGCGAAGAAGGACGUGGUAAGCUGCGAAAAGCCCCGGGGAUCUGCAAACAGGAACUGAUCCGGGGAUGUCCGAAUGGGGGAACCCGGCUGGCUGAAGGCCAGUCACCAGCUUUUGCUGGAGCAUACGCAGGGAACUGAAACAUCUUAGUACCUGCAGGAAAAGAAAGAAAUAUCGAUUCCCAAAGUAGUGGCGAUCGAAAUGGGAAGAGCCCAAACCGGGUGCGUUACGGCGUGUCCGGGGUUGUAGGAGCAGACAUAAAGAAUCAUCCAGGAACUGGAACCGUCUGGAAAGUCGGUCCGGAGAGGGUGAAAGGCCCGUACAGGUAACGGGGAUGAUUCGAGUUUGCCACCUGAGUAGGGCGGGACACGUGGAAUCCUGUCUGAAGCAGCGGCGACCGUGCCGCAAGGCUAAAUAUAACCGGAAGACCGAUAGUGGACCAGUACCGUGAGGGAAAGGUGGGAAGCACCCCGAACAGGGGAGUGAAAUAGAACCUGAAACCGUUCGUUUACAAGCGGUCGGAGC
rnacentral:rRNA from 1 species